rnacentral:rRNA from 1 species
GACGAACGCUGGCGGCGUGCUUAACACAUGCAAGUCGAACGGAAAGGCCCUGCUUUUGUGGGGUGCUCGAGUGGCGAACGGGUGAGUAACACGUGAGUAACCUGCCCUUGACUUUGGGAUAACUUCAGGAAACUGGGGCUAAUACCGGAUAGGAGCUCCUGCUGCAUGGUGGGGGUUGGAAAGUUUCGGCGGUUGGGGAUGGACUCGCGGCUUAUCAGCUUGUUGGUGGGGUAGUGGCUUACCAAGGCUUUGACGGGUAGCCGGCCUGAGAGGGUGACCGGCCACAUUGGGACUGAGAGACGGCCCAGACGGCUACGGGAGGCAGCAGUGGGGAAUAUUGCACAAUGGGCGGAAGCCUGAUGCAGCAACGCCGCGUGCGGGAUGACGGCCUUCGGGUUGUAAACCGCUUUCGCCUGUGACGAAGCGUGAGUGACGGUAAUGGGUAAAGAAGCACCGGCUAACUACGUG